rfam:Ictidomys tridecemlineatus contig101952, whole genome shotgun sequence.
GGGGGUAUAACUCAGUGGCAGAGUACUUGUCUAGUAAAUGUGAGACCCUGGGGUUUGAUCCCAGCACUACCA